rnacentral:rRNA from 1 species
GACGAACGCUGGCGGCGUGCUUAACACAUGCAAGUCGAACGGUAAGGCCUUCGGGUACACGAGUGGCGAACGGGUGAGUAACACGUGGGUGAUCUGCCCUGCACUUUGGGAUAAGCCUGGGAAACUGGGUCUAAUACCGAAUAGGACUACGGCCUGCAUGGGUUGUGGUGGAAAGCUUUUGCGGUGUGGGAUGGGCCCGCGGCCUAUCAGCUUGUUGGUGAGGUUACGGCUCACCAAGGCGACGACGGGUAGCCGGCCUGAGAGGGUGACCGGCCACACUGGGACUGAGAUACGGCCCAGACUCCUACGGGAGGCAGCAGUGGGGAAUAUUGCACAAUGGGCGCAAGCCUGAUGCAGCGACGCCGCGUGAGGGAUGACGGCCUUCGGGUUGUAAACCUCUUUCAGCAGGGACGAAGCGCAAGUGACGGUACCUGUAGAAGAAGGACCGGCCAACUACGUGCCAGCAGCCGCCGUAAUAC